UACGGAGGGUGCAAGCGUUAUCCGGAUUCACUGGGUUUAAAGGGUGCGUAGGAGGACUGGUAAGUCAGUGGUGAAAUCCCCCGAGCUUAACUUGGGAACUGCCGUUGAUACUAUCAGUCUUGAAUACCGUGGAGGUGAGCGGAAUAUGUCAUGUAGCGGUGAAAUGCUUAGAUAUGACAUAGAACACCAAUUGCGAAGGCAGCUCGCUACACGAAUAUUGACUCUGAGGCACGAAAGCGUGGGGAUCAAACAGG
rnacentral:rRNA from 1 species